UAUUGUUGAAGGGCUGCAAUGGUGAACGACCUUGCAAAUGUAGAUGGCUUUGGAGUUUUGGCAGAAGGCCCUGCAGUUACUUCAUUAGGUACAAUGGGUUUCACAAUGACCUUCUCAGCAAGUGCCGGAGGAGGUGGAGGGGGCGGAGGUGGGGGAGGCGGAGGCGGAGGAGGAGGUGGAGGGGGCUCCAUCAACAUAGCAUCGUAGCCACUCAUGUCUAUCUCAUGGUCAAAUCUCUUUGGCGUCGUGCCUAUCCUUUCAACAUUUCUCUCUUCCUUGUUCGGUAGCUUUGCAAUAGCCCCCAUUCUUCCCCUCUCUGUUUGAUUACCC
rnacentral:lncRNA from 1 species